rnacentral:tRNA from 1 species
UCCCCUGGGCCAUUAGCUCGGGUGGUUAGAGCGCACCCCUGAUAAGGGUGAGGUCCCUGGUUCAAGUCCAGGAUGGCCCAUUCGGUGUUGGGGGUUUAGCUCAGUUGGUAGAGCGCCUGCUUUGCAAGCAGGAUGUCAGGAGUUCGAGUCUCCUAACCUCCACUGACCGAACUCAAUCUCCAUUUUCCGUGUAACGGGAAAUGACUCGAAAUGAGGAGUGUGAUUUGGAUGAUGUCCGCUGGAUGACCCCAGCUUCCUGUCAUUCCAAGGAUGAGUGAGAACUCAUGAUUUGGUUGAUAAGAUGCUGGGCUCAAUUCAAGUUAUUGAGCAAUCAAUGAUUUGAUUUGGAGUCUGGCAGAACCUUGACAACUGCAUAGGUGAAGUCUGGAAAAACCAAAGCAUCUCAUGGAUGCAUUGUUUUGAGUCUGAGUAUCCGAAAGGAUGCCUAGAACCAGAGCAAUGAAAAUUCUUUUGAGCAAGAGCCGAGACUCUAAAAUGUUCUUCUUGUCGUGUCGAGCGACGAGGAGUUUGAUUUUGUUUUCAGUGUCAGUGAAAACUGAGGUUGAAAACAGAAGAAUCCGUCUCAACAACGGUAAGCGUUUUAGAGAUUAAUUGGUCAAGCUACAAAGGGCUCACGGCGGAUACCUUGGCACACAGAGGCGAUGAA